rnacentral:rRNA from 1 species
AUCCUGGCUCAGGAUUCCCGCUGGCGGCGUGCCUAACACAUGCAAGUCGAACGGUCGCUGAAAGGUGACAGUGGCGCACGGGUGAGGAACACGUAGCUGAUCUGCCUUUGAGUGCGGGAUAACGUCCCGAAAGGGAUGCUAAGACCGCAUAAGCUCCCGCCUUCUAGAGAGGUGAGAGAAAAGAGGCAACUCGCUCAAAGAGGAGGCUGCGACCCAUCAGGUAGUUGGUGCGGUAACGGCGCACCAAGCCGACGACGGGUAGGGGACCUGAGAGGGUGACCCCCCACACUGGGACUGAGACACGGCCCAGACUCCUACGGGAGGCAGCAGUGAGGAAUAUUGCCCAAUGGAGGAAACUCUGAGGCAGCGACGCCGCGUGGGUGAAGAAGGCCUUCGGGUCGUAAAGCCCUUUUCUGCGUGACGAGACAAGGACGGUAGCGCAGGAAAAAGUCUCGGCUAACUACGUGCCAGCAGCCGCGGUAAAACGUAGGAGGCAAGCGUUAUCCGGAGUUACUGGGCGUAAAGCGUGCGUAGGCGGGUCGGUAAGUGGGUGGUGAAAGCGCCGGGCUAAACCGGGCGAGGACCAUUCAGACUGCCGGUCUAGAGGCGGAUAGAGGAGCGUGGAAUUCCGGGUGUAGCGGUGAAAUGUGUAGAGAUCCGGAGGAACACCAGUGGUGCAAACGGCGCUCUGGGUCCGUACUGACGCUGAUGCACGAAAGCGUGGGGAGCGAACGGGAUUAGAGACCCCGGUAGUCCACGCCGUAAACGAUGUCAACUGGGUGUCCACACGGCUACGGUCGUGGGGGUGCCGAANCCAACGCGCUAAGUUGACCGCCUGGGGAGUACGGUCGCA